rnacentral:lncRNA from 10 species
AUGCCAGAUCAACCACUACCCAUGGGUCAGCCCUGGAAGAUUCUUUCUCUAUUUCUGAAUGGGAUAAAAGAAGAAGUGACUUCAAAAGAAGAGGAAGAAGAGAUGGCUGAAGAUAUAGAAGACUUAGAUCACUAUGAGAUGAAAGAAGAGCCUAUGAGUGGGAAACAGUUGGAGGAUGAAGGAACUGAAAAAGAAAAUUGGGCAAUAUUAGAGAAAAUUAGGAAGACUGAAAGGUAUGUAUUGGAUGGAGGAGCAUUAUGUAUGGAACCUCUCACAAAACAGUUGAUUAUUUUCUUAUAAUACUCAAUUUUCACUCUCAAGAGAGUGUUUUGAUUAUGUAAGUUAGAUCAUGAGUAGAAGGUUAUUUUAAAGACAUUUUAGUUUUUUAUUUUUUAUUUUUUAUUUUUCGUAGCUCCUACUUUCAAGAAAGAAAAAGGUAUCCCAGCACUUUGGGAGGCCCGGGCCGGCAGAUCACAAGGUCAGGAGAUCGAGACCAUCCUGGCUAACAUGGCGAAACCCCAUCUCUACUAAAAAAAUACAAAAUUUAGCUGGGCAUGUUGGCGGGCGCCUGUAGUUCCAGCAUCUCGGGAGGCUUAGGCAGGAGAAUGGCAUGAACCCGAGAGGCGGAGCUUGCAGAGAGCCAAGAUGGCGCCACUGCACUCCAGUCUGGGAGACAGAGCUA